rnacentral:rRNA from 1 species
GGAUGAACGCUGGCGGCGUGCCUAAUCCAUGCAAGUCGAGCGAACAGACGAGGAGCUUGCUCCUCUGACGUUAGCGGCGGACGGGUGAGUAACACGUGGAUAACCUACCUAUAAGACUGGGAUAACUUCGGGAAACCGGAGCUAAUACCGGAUAAUAUAUUGAACCGCAUGGUUCAAUAGUGAAAGACGGUUUUGCUGUCACUUAUAGAUGGAUCCGCGCCGCAUUAGCUAGUUGGUAAGGUAACGGCUUACCAAGGCAACGAUGCAUAGCCGACCUGAGAGGGUGAUCGGCCACACUGGAACUGAGACACGGUCCAGACUCCUACGGGAGGCAGCAGUAGGGAAUCUUCCGCAAUGGGCGAAAGCCUGACGGAGCAACGCCGCGUGAGUGAUGAAGGUCUUCGGAUCGUAAAACUCUGUUAUUAGGGAAGAACAAAUGUGUAAGUAACUAUGCACGUCUUGACGGUACCUAAUCAGAAAGCCACGGCUAACUACGUG